rnacentral:rRNA from 1 species
UAGGGAAUCUUCGGCAAUGGACGAAAGUCUGACCGAGCAACGCCGCGUGAGUGAAGAAGGUUUUCGGAUCGUAAAACUCUGUUGUUAGAGAAGAACAAGGACGUUAGUAACUGAACGUCCCCUGACGGUAUCUAACCAGAAAGCCACGGCUAACUACGUGCCAGCAGCCGCGGUAAUACGUAGGUGGCAAGCGUUGUCCGGAUUUAUUGGGCGUAAAGCGAGCGCAGGCGGUUUCUUAAGUCUGAUGUGAAAGCCCCCGGCUCAACCGGAGAGGGUCAUUGGAAACUGGGAGACUUGAGUGCAGAAGAGGAGAGUGGAAUUCCAUGUGUAGCGGUGAAAUGCGUAGAUAUAUGGAGGAACGCCAGUGGCGAAGGCGGCUCUAUGGUCUGUAACUGACGCUGAGGCUCGAAAGCGUGGGGAGCAAACAGG